UGGGGAAUAUUGGACAAUGGGCGAAAGCCUGAUCCAGCCAUGCCGCGUGUGUGAAGAGGGCCCUCGGGUUGUAAAGCACUUUCAGUGGGGAAGAAAGCCUUGGGAUUAAUACUCCCGAGGAAGGACAUCACCCACAGAAGAAGCACCGGCUAACUCCGUGCCAGCAGCCGCGGUAAUACGGAGGGUGCGAGCGUUAAUCGGAAUUACUGGGCGUAAAGCGCGCGUAGGCGGUCUGAUAAGCCGGUUGUGAAAGCCCCGGGCUCAACCUGGGAACGGCAUCCGGAACUGUCAGGCUAGAGUGCAGGAGAGGAAGGUAGAAUUCCCGGUGUAGCGGUGAAAUGCGUAGAGAUCGGGAGGAAUACCAGUGGCGAAGGCGGCCUUCUGGACUGACACUGACGCUGAGGUGCGAAAGCGUGGGUAGCAAACA
rnacentral:rRNA from 1 species